rnacentral:rRNA from 1 species
CCCUUAGAGUUUGAUCCUGGCUCAGGACGAACGCUGGCGGCGUGCUUAACACAUGCAAGUCGAGCGAGGAAAUUCUUUCGGGGAUUUCCUAGCGGCGGACGGGUGAGUAACACGUGGGCAACCUGCCUGAUAGAGGGGGAUAGCCUCCCGAAAGGGAGAUUAAUACCGCAUAAAGUCAAAUGAAGGCAUCUUCAAAUGGCCAAAGGAGUAAUCCGCUAUCAGAUGGGCCCGCGGCGCAUUGGCUAGUUGGUGAGGUAACGGCUCACCAAGGCGACGAUGCGUAGCCGACCUGAGAGGGUGAUCGGCCACAUUGGGACUGAGACACGGCCCAGACUCCUACGGGAGGCAGCAGUGGGGAAUAUUGCACAAUGGGGGAAACCCUGAUGCAGCAACGCCGCGUGAGUGAUGAAGGCCUUCGGGUUGUAAAGCUCUGUCUUCAGGGACGAUAAUGACGGCACCUGAGGAGGAAGCCACGGCUAACUACGUGCCAGCAGCCGCGGUAAUACGUAGGUGGCAAGCGUUGUCCGGAUUUACUGGGCGUAAAGGGAGCGUAGGCGGAUACUUAAGUGGGAUGUGAAAUACCUGGGCUUAACUUGGGUGCUGCAUUCCAAACUGGGUGUCUAGAGUGUUGGAGAGGAAAGUGGAAUUCCUAGUGUAGCGGUGAGAUGCGCAGAUA